rnacentral:rRNA from 1 species
CUUGAACGCUGGCGGCAGGCCUAACCCAUGAAAGUCGGGCGAGGGGCGGACGGGAGUGAAAUGUAUGGAGAUCUGCCUGAUGGAGGGGGAUAACUACUGGAAACGGUAAAUAAUAGCGCAAACCAUGAGAUGAAACCAUAUGGGAUUAGCGUGUAGGGAAGGUAACGGCUUAACUAGGAGAAGAUCCCUAGCUGGUCUGAGAGGAGGAUCAGCCCAACGGGGAAUGAUAAACGGCACAGAAUCCGACGGGAGGCAGCAGUGGGGAAGAUUGCACAAUGGGCGCAAGCCUGAUGCAGCCAUGCCGCGUGUAUGAAGAAGGCCUUCGGGUUGUAAAGUACUUUCAGUCGUGAGGCGUUACCGACAGAAGAAGCACCGGCUAACUCAGUGCCAGCAGCCGCGGUAAUAC